rnacentral:rRNA from 1 species
AGAGCGAACGCUGGCGGCAGGCCUAACACAUGCAAGUCGAGCGCCCGUAGCAAUACGGGAGCGGCAGACGGGAGAGUAACACGUGGGAACGCGCCCUUCGGUUCGGAAUAACUCAGGGAAACUUGAGCUAAUACCGGAUACGCCCUUACGGGGAAAGAUUUAUUGCCGAAGGAACGGCCCGCGUCCGAUUAGCUAGUUGGUGAGGUAAUGGCUCACCAAGGCGACGAUCGGUAGCUGGUCUGAGAGGAUGACCAGCCUCACUGGGACUGAGACACGGCCCAGACUCCUACGGGAGGCAGCAGUGGGGAAUAUUGGACAAUGGGCGCAAGCCUGAUCCAGCCAUGCCGCGUGGAUGAUGAAGGCCUUAGGGUUGUAAAGUCCUUUUAACGGGGAGAUAAUGACGGUACCGUAGAAUAAGCCCGGCUAACUUCGCGCCAGCAGCCGC